rnacentral:rRNA from 1 species
CUCGCCAGGGUACAACGAGCGCAAGCUUACAACCCAAAGGACUUGGCGGAGCUUUAGACCCCCUAGAGGAGCCUGUCCUAUAACCGAUGAUCCCCGUUUACCCUCACCUUCACUUGUUAAUUCCGCCUAUAUACCGCCGUCGUCAGCUUACCUCGCGAGAGUCCAAUAGUAAGCAAAAUUGGCACUGCCUAAGAAGUCAGGUCGAGGUGUAGCGUACGUGAAGGGAAGAGAUGGGCUACAUUCGCUGAACCAGUGUACACGGAUCUCAUAUGCCUUGAAACAAGCUAGUGAAGGAGGAUUUAGCAGUAAGAAAAGAAUAGAGAGCUUUUCUGAAGACGGCUCUGAAGCGCGCACACACCGCCCGUCACUCUCCCCGAAGCAAAAUUUUAAGUACAUAACCAAAGUUCCGCACAAGAGGGGAGGUAAGUCGUAACAUGGUAAGUGUACCGGAAGGUGCACUUGGACAAC